UACGGGGGGGGUAAGCGUUGUUCGGAAUUACUGGGCGUAAAGGGCUCGUAGGCGGCCAACUAAGUCAUACGUGAAAUCCCUCAGCUUAACUGGGGAACUGCGUGUGAUACUGGAUGGCUUGAAUUCGGGAGAGGGAUGCAGAAUUCCAGGUGUAGCGGUGAAAUGCGUAGAUAUCUGGAGGAAUACCGGUGGCGAAGGCGGCAUCCUGGACCGAGAUUGACGCUGAUGAGCGAAAGCUAGGGGAGCAAACGGG
rnacentral:rRNA from 1 species